UCUUUGAUUGGUGGUUGCCAUGGCUGCGGGCAUUUAGCUUGGCAAUAUGGCGUCGGCGAGGCAGCGAAGGCCGCCGCUUUUUCUCUUCCAGGCUCUUCUGGGUUUCUGAGGCAGGCCGGCCCCGAGUAUGGGCUCUCUGUCGCCGCUCAGCUUCCUGUGGGGACUCCUCCUGCUGCAGGGCGUCCUGAGGCCGCUGCGCGGGGACCCGGUUUUCAUCCCACCUUUCAUCCGGAUGUCCAGCCCUGAGGUCCGCGCGACCCUGGUCGGAGGCAGCGAGGAUGUCGCCGUGUCUCUGGCUCCGCUGCAGGUCGAGGACGGAGUGUUACCAGUUCCUACCUGUGGCGGCCUCCACAAUGAGACAGCGGAUUGGAAUGUGACUGUGAGCCCCCGAGAGAACACGCUGGAAGUGACCAUAAGGUGGAAGAGGGGUCUAGACUGGUGCUCCGCAGGCGAGACGGCCUCGUUCUCAGAGCCCCCGUGCGUCGUGCAGACCCUGCUGGUUUCAGCCUCCCACAAUGCAUCCUGCUUAGCGCAUCUGCUCAUCCAGGUGGAGAUUUAUCCUAACACAUCUGUAACCCACAACGUGUCAGAGAACAUGACUGUCAUUCCUAACCAAGUCUGUCAGCCCCUGGGUCCCUGCCCGUGCGACCUAACAGCCAAGGCCUGUGACAUUCGAUGCUGCUGUGACCAGGACUGUCAGCCGGAACUAAGAGAGCUGUUCCAAUGGUCCUGCUUCUCCGGCGUGUUUGGAGGGCACGUCAGCCCUCCGUCCCACCAUCACUGUGCAGUCGGCACUACACACCAGACUCCUGACUGGUUUCCCUUCCUGUGUGUGCAGUCGCCACCCUCCACCUCGCCGUUCCUGGGUCACUUCUACCACGGUGCCACUUCCCCCAGACAUUCCCCCGGCUUUGAAGCCCAUUUGCACUUCGACCUAAGAGACUUCGCUGACGCCAGUUACAAACAAGGAGAUCCCAUUUUGACCACGGAGGGGUAUUUUACCAUCCCUCAGGUGUCUCUAGCUGGGCAGUGUCUACAGGAUGCUCCUGUGGCUUUCCUGAGGAAUUUUGACAGUAUAUGUACCAUGGACCUAGAAGUGCACCACGGAAGAGAUGGAAUUGUCCCCGAGAACGUGAAGAUCCGCACGACAGGAGGCCCAGUCACACCAACUGUAACCUAUGAGGAAGCCACUGACCUGGACAAGCUCAUCACCAGUCCAGACACAAUUUUAAGUGUCGGAUCGGCCCCCAGAAACGUGAAUGUGGAAGAACAUUAUGUUUUUAGAUGGCAAAAUAAUUCCAUCAGCGGCUUAGACAUCACAAUCGUCCGGGCAGAAAUCAGUGCCCACCAGAGAGGAACGAUGACCCAGAGAUUCACAGUGAAGUUUUUAAGCCAUCACAGUGGUGGUGAGAAGGAAUUUUCUGGAAAUCCAGGUUACCAGCUUGGCAAGCCGGUCCGAGCCCUGCGUGCCGACGACGGGAUGAACGUCAGCACACUGCACCUCUGGCAGCCAGCUGGAAGGGGCCUGUGCACAUCAGCCACUCUCAGACCCGUUUUAUUUGGAGAAAAUGUCUUCUCUGGCUGCCUGCUAGAAGUUGGGAUUAAGGAGAACUGUACACAGCUCAGGGAGAAUGUCCUUCAGAGACUGGAUUUGCUGAUACAGGCAACGCACGUUGCGAGGAGAGGCAACUCGGACUACAGUGAUCUGAGUGAUGGCUGGCUGGAGAUCAUACGUGCCGACACCCCUGAUACAGGGGCCGACCUGCCCCUGAGCCGUGCGAAUGGCGUGUGCCCGGAAGUUCCAGCCCGGCUCUCCAUCCGCAUUCUUACUGCUGAAGCUGGCUCUGUGGAAGGGGUGGCUCAGCGGGAGAUCCUGGCUGUGGAGACAAGGUUUUCCACCGUGACCUGGCAGUACCAGUGUGGGCUCACCUGUGAGGACAAGGCCGACCUUCUCCCUCUCACUGCCUCUGUAGAGUUCAUUAACGUCCCUGCGCAGAUGCCCCGCCCCCCGACGAGAUUCCAGAUCAACUUCACAGAGUACGACUGUACCCGCAAUGAGCUGUGUUGGCCCCAACUCCUGUACCCUCUGACCCAGUACUAUCAAGGGGAGCCCCAGUCUCAAUGUGUGGCCAAAGGCCUGAUGCUGCUGUCACUCCUCAUGCUGGCUGUCCUCCUCAGGCACCCCUGGGUCAGGAUGUGCAAAGCCUGGGACUCAGCUCCCAUCUACCAUUAAGUUUCCUCGGAGACUCAGCGUACUCAGCGGCUCCCCAUCAGCCCGUGCGCCCCUCUGAAACCUGUCGGUUUGAGACAGGGUCUCUCUACGUAGCCCUGGCUUGCUUCUAAGCUCACAGAGAUUUGCCUGUCUCCACCUCUGGAGUGCUGGAUUAAAGGCAUGCUCCACCAUGCCUGGCCUCUCUGAACCAUUUUAAUAAACAGAAUGUCUAUUUUUAUAGAAAUUCUUAGUGGUAAGUGGAUUUGAGUCAAAUAUCUAGAUGUUCAGAGUGGCUCCGGAUGAUCAUUCACGAUUCUAGCUGGAUGCAGGGGAAUUGGGGGGGGGGGUGUAAUGUCAGAGAAUGAAGCCCAGCACGGAUUUCUAAUCACAGGGGUUUUAUUUUUGCCCAGACUAGAUUGAUGCAAGCAGGUAAGUAUAAAGAAAAGAUUGAUUACUGUCACAUAUUCCAGAGAAAGGGUUAGAAAAUGCUUUAUAAAGGCUUUUAGAUCAAAAUUGAAUUUUAUAU
ensembl:processed_transcript